GUGGUUAAAAAAGUUGGUGGUGAAAUCCCAGAGCUUAACUCUGGAACUGCCAUCAAAACUUUUUAGCUAGAGUAUGAUAGAGGAAAGCAGAAUUUCUAGUGUAGAGGUGAAAUUCGUAGAUAUUAGAAAGAAUACCAAUUGCGAAGGCAGCUUUCUGGAUCAUUACUGACACUGAGGAACGAAAGCAUGGGUAGCGAAGAGGAUUAGAUACCCUCGUAGUCCAUGCCGUAAACGAUGUGUGUUAGACGUUGGAAAUUUUUUUUCAGUGUCGCAGCGAAAGCAAUAAACACACCGCCUGGGGAGUACGACCGCAAGGUUAAAACUCAAAUGAAUUGACGGGGACCCGCACAAGUAGUGGAGCAUGUGGUUUAAUUCGAAGAUACGCGCAGAACCUUACCAACACUUGACAUGUUCGUCGCGACUUUAAGAGAUUAAAGUUUUCGGUUCGGCCGGACGAAACACAGGUGCUGCAUGGCUGUCGUCAGCUCGUGUCGUGAGAUGUUGGGUUAAGUCCCGCAACGAGCGCAACCCUUACUUUUAGUUGCCAUCAUUUAGUUGGGAACUCUGAAAGAACUGCCAGUGAUAAGCUGGAGGAAGGUGGGGAUGACGUCAAGUCCUCAUGGCCCUUACGUGUUGGGCUACACACGUGCUACAAUGGCAUCUACAAUAGGAAGCAAGACGGCGACGUCAAGCAAAUCCUAAAAAGAUGCCUCAGUUCGGAUUGUACUCUGCAACUCGAGUACAUGAAGCUGGAAUUACUAGUAAUCGCGGAUCAGCGUGCCGCGGUGAAU
rnacentral:rRNA from 1 species